rnacentral:rRNA from 1 species
GGACUACACGGGUAUCUAAUCCCUUUUGCUCCCCACGCUUUCGUGCCUGAGCGUCAGUAAUUGUCCAGGUAGCCGCCUUCGCCUCUGGUGUUCCUCACGAUAUCUACGCAUUUCACUGCUACACCGUGAAUUCCGCUACCCUCUCCAAUACUCUAGCCAUGUAGUUUCAGGCGCAGUUCCGGGGUUAAGCCCCGGGAUUUCACACCUGACACACACGGCCGCCUGCGCACCCUUUACGCCCAGUGAAUCCGAAUAACGCUUGCAGUCUCUGUAUUACCGCGGCUGCUGGCAC